rnacentral:rRNA from 1 species
UGAGGAAUAUUGGGUCAAUGGUCGAGAGACUGAACCAGCCAAGUCGCGUGAGGGAAGAAUGGUCCAUGGCCUGUAAACCUCUUUUGACGGGGACGAAUAAAGGGAACGCGUUCCCUCUUGCCGGUACCCGUCGAAUAAGCAUCGGCUAACUCCGUGCCAGCAGCCGCGGUAACACGGGGGAUGCGAGCGUUAUCCGGAUUUAUUGGGUUUAAAGGGCGCGUAGGCGGGGGGAUCAAGUCAGCGGUAAAAGCCUGCAGCUUAACUGUAGCACGCCGUUGAAACUGGUUCUCUAGAGUUCGGUCAAGGGAGGCGGAACAGGUGAAGUAGCGGUGAAAUGCAUAGAUAUCACCUGGAACCCCGAUAGCGAAGGCAGCUUCCCGGCCCGCC